UGCAAGUCGAGCGGUAAACAGAUCUAGCUUGCUAGAUGCUGACGAGCGGCGGACGGGUGAGUAAUGCAUAGGAAUUUACCCAGUAGUGGGGGAUAACGUGGGGAAACCCACGCUAAUACCGCAUACGUCCUACGGGAGAAAGGGGGCUCCGGCUCCCGCUAUUGGAUGAGCCUAUGUCGGAUUAGUUAGUUGGUGAGGUAACGGCUCACCAAGACCGCGAUCCGUAGCUGGUCUGAGAGGAUGAUCAGCCACAUCGGGACUGAGACACGGCCCGAACUCCUACGGGAGGCAGCAGUGGGGAAUAUUGGACAAUGGGCGCAAGCCUGAUCCAGCCAUGCCGCGUGUGUGAAGAAGGCCCUCGGGUUGUAAAGCACUUUCAGCGAGGAAGAACGCCUGUCGGUUAAUACCCGGCAGGAAAGACAUCACUCGCAGAAGAAGCACCGGCUAACUCCGUGCCAGCAGCCGCGGUAAUACGGAGGGUGCAAGCGUUAAUCGGAAUUACUGGGCGUAAAGCGCGCGUAGGUGGCUUGAUAAGCCGGUUGUGAAAGCCCCGGGCUCAACCUGGGAACGGCAUCCGGAACUGUCAAGCUAGAGUGCAGGAGAGGAAGGUGGAAUUCCCGGUGUAGCGGUGAAAUGCGUAGAGAUCGGGAGGAAUACCAGUGGCGAAGGCGGCCUUCUGGACUGACACUGACACUGAGGUGCGAAAGCGUGGGUAGCAAACAGGAUUAGAUACCCUGGUAGUCCACGCCGUAAACGAUGUCGACCAGCCGUUGGGUGCCUUGUGCACUUUGUGGCGAAGUUAACGCGAUAAGUCGACCGCCUGGGGAGUACGGCCGCAAGGUUAAAACUCAAAUGAAUUGACGGGGGCCCGCACAAGCGGUGGAGCAUGUGGUUUAAUUCGAUGCAACGCGAAGAACCUUACCUACCCUUGACAUCCUGCGAAUUUGGUAGAGAUCACUUAGUGCCUUCGGGAACGCAGAGACAGGUGCUGCAUGGCUGUCGUCAGCUCGUGUUGUGAAAUGUUGGGUUAAGUCCCGUAAC
rnacentral:rRNA from 1 species